rnacentral:rRNA from 1 species
CCUACGGGUGGCUGCAGUGGGGAAUAUUGCACAAUGGGCGCAAGCCUGAUGCAGCCAUGCCGCGUGUGUGAAGAAGGCCUUCGGGUUGUAAAGCACUUUCAGCGGGGAGGAAGGCGGUGAGGUUAAUAACCUCAUCGAUUGACGUUACCCGCCGAAGAAGCACCGGCUAACUCCGUGCCAGCAGCCGCGGUAAUACGGAGGGUGCAAGCGUUAAUCGGAAUUACUGGGCGUAAAGCGCACGCAGGCGGUCUGUCAAGUCGGAUGUGAAAUCCCCGGGCUCAACCUGGGAACUGCAUUCGAAACUGGCAGGCUAGAGUCUGGUAGAGGGGGGUAGAAUUCCAGGUGUAGCGGUGAAAUGCGUAGAGAUCUGGAGGAAUACCGGUGGCGAAGGCGGCCCCCUGGACAAAGACUGACGCUCAGGUGCGAAAGCGUGGGGAGCAAACAGGAUUAGAUACCCCAGUAGUC